rnacentral:lncRNA from 1 species
AUGGCAGCACAGGCCUCCUCUACCCCACAGAUAGUCCGGGUGGGGGAAAGGCCCACACCCCCUCCCCUGCCUAGAGGCCUCACUACCCCCCCCACCACCUGCCUUCCCAGGGAUCCUGGACCACUGUCUCCCCAGGGAUGGGGGUGGGGACUCCUAAUGUGCCCAUCCCUCCCAAAUCCUGGCUCCCCUGGCCCCUCCUCUCCUCUGCCCUUCCCCAAGCAGCUGGCUCAAUCAGCGCUCAGAAUAGCCCCCCCACCCCAAAAUAACCCACAGCUGUGGCCUGGCCCCUGCGGGGUUAACACUCACUCUCUCCUCCCUUCCUGGUGGCUUCUCCUCCCUCAGACCCUCCUCUGCCUAUCCCAGACCCACCCCUGCUUGGCCUCUGUCCUUGGGCACCCCAGGGUCCUGCUCCCUGCAGAGGCCCAGGAAGGUAGCUCCUGCCCCACCCUUCUUAGGAAACUGGAUGCCCAGUCCUCUGUUGGGGAGGACAGUCUCCCACCCCUCAAAGAUCUAAGUAGUGGCCCCAGCUGCUGGGGAACUCUGGAGGCCCAAUCCUCGGAACCUAUGCCCUCAGGGAUCACAUUCCCCAGGCCCCCAACCUCCACCUCGUCUCAGUCCCCAGAUCCAUUCCAUGGGGCCCAAGAGCCAAACCCUCCUUGUCCCUUGCCCUGUCAGAGACUCAGGAGGCUGGGCCCCCAGCCCCCUCUUCCCUCAGACACAGAAGCUCUAACUUCUCCCAUAAAGACUCAAGAGUCUUGGCUCUCGGCACCCUCCUCCUCCCAGACCCAGGAGUCCAGGGGCUCAGUUCUGCCCUCUCUGAGGACCCAGGAGUCUUGGCUCCCUCCUGCCCCUCGACUGGGUGCCCAGUCUCCUCUCUGCCCAGAAACCAGGAGUGCAGGCCCAGAGCCCCUUCCUCCCCUAAGGAUCCCCUUUAUGCCUCAAACUCCAUCAGUCCCAACAUCCUGUGAGCACCCCCCAUUCCCCCGCCAGCUCCAGCCUCCUGUCACCCCACUCGGGUCCUGGACACAGCACAGCUGUCCCCCAGCUAAGGAGGAGGAGGGUGCCAGAGAUUCCUGGGGUGUCCCUGUCUCCAACACUACCCCCCCACAGCCCAUCACAGAAGAGAGGAGAGGCCACUUUGAUCAACAGCCCGCCCCCCCUCGCGUCGUGCUGCAGACGGCAUCCCGUCCCCCCCCAACACCAUUCUCUCCCCACCCUAAUCCGGUGCUCAGAACAGGCUGGAAGGGUAUUCCAGAAGCUUGA